GCCUUUAGGAGGCAGAGUCUUCGUCCAAGGGUAGGUCACUGAGGACAGACAUGAGGUUUGAUACCUCAGUCUCGUCUUCAGUUUUCUGACUGUGGACGUGGUGUGACCAGACACUUGGAGCCCCUACCAUCAUGACUCUACACUAUGAUGGACCACAGCUCCUCAAACUGGGAGCCUCCUAUAAGAUCUUUUUCAUCAGAUAAGUAGGCAUCCUCAGUGGCAUUUGUAAUAUGAAUGCUACCUACAAAGUGAAGAAGCACACUUUCCCAGUGCCUCAGCAGAGCUCCAAGAGCUGCUGUGCGUGGCGGGCCAGUGGAGGCUGGGAAGGGUUGAGCCCCACACUUGGACCAUUCAGAGGGGACACAGCCAGUUCUCCAAGAAGGUUAGUCACAGGCCAGCAAAGGCAGCACAGCGGAGUUCUGAACAUCACAUUCUACAGUCAAGUCCCACCAAGUGCUUUCAGGUCAGCUGCAGCCUGCUGCCUGAGAUGUCUGCAUGCGACAGUUGUGACCUCCAUUCCUCAGUUCAAGCACCACCCUACCUACUGUCUGUGUAGAGAAAGGCAUCACUUUCUCUCUUAGCUGGGAACAUGCAGACAUGGUCAUACAUCCCUGUCAUUCCUUCCAAGAUAGCCUUGGAUUGAGGACCUACUAUGAUCAAGAGAGGGACUUCCCUAAGCACAGAGCAGUAGCAAAGGGGUCGAGACUCACAGGUUGAGAAACAUUGCUCAGGAUACUUCCUUCCAUGUUGUGGCUUUGGCUCAGCUAAGCACCUCUGUCCAGCCCCAUCCCAGCCUCUUCACUUCUGGUUCUUCCUGGCCAAUCCUUCGUUUCCUCAUCUAUCAAGUCAAGACAAUGGCAUCUACUUUUCUGUGAGCUGUGUGGGUUUGGAACAUGGCAGGCACCAGUUAGUGUCAGUUUGCCUUCUGGAUUAGAAUGUUUCCAUUUACAUUUGCCUCAGGAACACUGCCAUUUUCUUGGUGUGGUUAAUCUUAACUACCUCUAAGGGGGAAAGUCCUUUGAUUGAACAAAUUUAUGUCAAUGUGUUUUCUGCAAAUAUAAGUCAUUUUAGUUCUCCAAAAGGCAUCUGGAAUGUUUUUCUGAGUCCAUGUUAACCUAAAAUCAUUUUGCAGUUUGUAAGGUUGUGCAUGUCCAACAAUUAACAGAACAAAGUGGAAAAAUAUGGAUGUAGGUUGAUGAGAAACCAGCUUCCAGUGGUCAGCUGCUCCCAGUUCUUUGCCCUGUUCAGCUUCUUCUUCUACUCCUGAGGUUGAAGAUGGACGUGACUUCCCAGCCUUGGGAACCAAAGCUCCCCACGUUAGCCUGGUCUUCCCUGGCCUCAAGGCACACCUUCUGUCAGCCUGCUCCAUACAGACACACUAGUACAUCAAUGAACUCAAUGCCCAUGCCCUACCAAGCCCCUCUUGCCCACAUGUAUAGUGACGGGAAGAGAUCGAGGAGCCACACACUUGUGAGCGGUGUAUCAGCAAGGAGACAAACCAUCGCAGCUGCCUUGAACAUGUGAAAGCUCCUGUUGCCUUCAUUUGCCUCCCAGCAGCCCAGAAAACAUGGUUCAUCUCCCACAACGACAGCUACAAAGGGCCAAAGUCAUCCCUCAACAUCGUGACUUGGAUGUCUCUUUUGAUCACGAGUCUGCAUGGAUUCCUCAUAGGCCAACAUGGAAUGGAGCUUCACAUCCGUCACUGAUUACUUUGCCAUUUUGGACAGGUUGUUCCUUCCCUCUGGUGAAUCUCAAAUGUUAACGUCUAGCAAAAUGGGUAAGCUGAGCUUAUAGUAGGUGCACGCUGCCAGCACCCAGAACUCCUGGAGGUAAGAGGGCUUCAGUAUGUGAGUGCUACCAUAGCCCAUCUCCUGAAGGAGUGGAACAGCCGAGUCCUGUCCCAAUCCCAACACCAAGUUAGCAGUGCAGAACAGGGUGUACACACUCUGCCCUGAACCCAGUGCUCACCACCACAUGGGCAGGCACUACCAUGAGUAGUUUUCCUAUAAAGACUGCAUCUUUACAUCUUUUUAAAAUUACAUUUAUUUCUUUAUUGGAGAAGAAAGGCCUGUGUGGCGCUCAGGGGACGACUUGCAGGAAUCAAUUUUCUCCUUACACUGUUGCCCAUCCCAGGAAUCAAACCUAGGUCCUUAGACAUCUCAGGAAGUGUCUUUACCUACUAAACCAUUUUUUUGCUCUCCCUUGGAUGCACCUUAAUAUUCCCCGUAACUUCAGUUCGGUGGGCUUCCUAAACCAGGCAAGAAUAAACGGAGUGAAAUUGGUAUUUUCAAGAGGCAGAAAUCUAAUAAAGCAAAACCUGUAUGCGGUUCAUGCUGCUGGGGGCUCUGACAGGCCCUACCCUGUCAGUCACGGGCAACAGAGGCCCCCUGCCAGUCCCUACCACGAUGUCCUCCUGAGGUUCCGCUGUCUGUCACUCCCUCCACAGCAAGGGGUGGGCUCAACCACCAGACCACUAAGCACUGGCUCUCUCUGCUCCUUAGGGCAGAAACUGCAAGAGAGCACCAUGAGGCACAGAGAAGCACACAAACCAAGCCCACCACGUACGUACACAGAAUGGAUUCUGUAGGAACCCUUCACACACAAGAGAGUCGGAGGAAACGGAUUUAUCACUGGCACCGUACUGGCAGAUAUAAUUUUUUUUAGUAGAACAGAGGGAAUUAGUCAGGGGUGGGGAGAAGCACAUCCUAUUUCCAAUCUAUUCUACACUGCCUUCUCUGUGGCCUCUGUACAGGAUCAGCUGCUCCAAGGACUCAGACACCAAAGUGCAGGCCAUUAAGUCAAAAGCCUAAGAGGGGCAUUGGCAAUGUCAUUCUGAAGAAGAAGAUUCGGAGGGGACAUUGCACAAUGUCAGCUGCUUAUCAAACAGGUCUUCACCCUAGGAGUCCUGGUGCACAGUAGCCCUCACCCCCUCCUGGAGAGGGCCUGACACUUUCUGCCCACAGGCCAUCCCUCUGAGCCCUUCAAGCUGGGAGAAGAGACUGGGCAGGCAAGCCUGUCACUUCAGAGGGAGUGCAGACACCCUGCAGUGAUGUCACCAGCCACAGCAGCGCUGAGAUGUCAGGUACCAGCAGCACAAUUCAUCAGCAAGCUGGAAAUGUGACAGUCUGCACACACAAUGGAGACAGGCAGAGCCCUGUGGAUUUGUCAGGAGGAGAAAAAUAAGGGCCCGAGGACUGUUUCCACAGAGGUCCUGAUGAAUGUCGAGCUGGGAAGAGGGAGUUUGGCCUGGUUUUAGACAGAGUUGUAGCCACGCAUCCUCAGCUCUAACCCACAGUCUGCUCUGACAGGAAAGAAGAAAAGAAGUUCGGCAUUCAAAAGAAAGCAAGAAAGAAAAUUAAAGUAAGAAUAUUUUUCACCAACAGAGGGGAGGGGAAUAAAAAUUUCCAUAAUACCCAACAUGCAAAUGCAGUGAAAUGGGCACUUUGGGCUACAAAACUAGUGAAACGCAGAUCCUUUCAGCGCGAUUUGGAAAUUGUGGUGAUGGUAAUGAUGACGGUGAUGGUGAUGGUGAUCUAGACUGAGAUGCCCAGGGCAUCAGCCAAGCACGCUGGUGGUGUGUUUGUAAGGACACUACUCAAGAGAGACAUCAGGAGAGCAACCAAGAGGGGAAAACCAGCCCUGAAUGUGGGAUCCAGACAGAAAGGGGAAGGGAAAGUCAGUCAGCGUGCUAUGAGCUUCAUCCCUCCCCAGCGAGUACACCAUGGCCCUGAGACUUGGCCUUCUCCAGCCCUUCCAGAGAGACUCACACCAGCCACUCACGAGAAAGCCGCUGGGUCUUCAGUUUGGGAUGACACUGCUUCAUUGACUCUCCUUGUUCUGAGGAUUCCAGCUGAUGGGCAAAUAGUGGCUAGAUUCUCUCUCCAGCACGUGGAAGGUCACUGUUGGAUUACCUGGCUUUCAGUCACAUUCAUAUGCCAAUCAAAUAAAUCCCCUUUAAAAAUACACAAACAAUAUAUUCUGUGUAUCCAUUUCCAGGGUCAGGACCCCUAAUUCAUUGCUUAAUAUAAAGUGGUCAGCCCUGAAACCAUACAUGAAUAACUACAAAAAUAGACACAGCAGGAUGCAUGUAUAUUUGUGCAUGUGUAUGUGUGCGUGUAUGUGUACAUGUACGUAUGCACAUAUACACAUACACACAUACACACACACAUAUAUAUAUAUAUAUGUAUGUUUGUAUAAAAAAAGGGAGUUAUCAAUUUGAGGUGAAAGGAGUUGGAGAGGGGGAAGAGUUCUUGGGAAGGACUGGGGAGAAAUGAGACAGGGGAAAGUGUUGUAAUUAUCUCUUAAUUCAAAUAUAUAAAAGCUUUAAAUGGUAAACUUACAGAAAAGCAUAUUCCAUGACACAUACUCUAUUAUAUACAUCCUAUUGGUUCUGCUCUUUCAGAGAUUCCUGCCUAAUAAUGAUCACAAUGCUUAUUUAAUAGAUGGAACCAUUAGAAGUUUGUCCUGCACAGAUGUGCAUAGAAAUAAUGGAAAUGAGUGUUAUCUCGUUCUGUCCAUGGAAGUGUAAAACAAAUCACUUCGCAUAGCAUAAAGAAGCAGCGGCACGAGGAGAUGAACAUCAGGACAGUAGGAGCAGAUGAUCCCAGUGUGUCAUAGAUGUUAACAUGUGCACAGAUAUGUGCAGGACUCUACAGGGGGAGUGAAGGCUCAGAGAAGUCCACAUCAGAACGUGGCCACAGCCAUCUUUGGGGACUGUGACUUUGAAACCUUUCUUUUCAUUUUCCUGUCUCAGUGGGGUUCAAAUUUUAAGGAAAAUCUCUCCCAAUGCCCUAGAGGGCCUCGUGGCACCAGUUUGUCCCCCCGGAAUACUCAGGAAGCGAAGUCUGGAAGAUUGUAAGUUCAAAGCCUGCCUAGAUGACAGUGUGACCUCAAGACCAGUCUGGGAUACUCAGUAAGAUUCUACCUCAUUUUUUAAAUUGAUGAUUCUGGUUUUGUUUGGUUUUGUACCCACUGUGAGUUGGUUUCUAGCAGGCUCCUGGGUGAUGGGUUAAACACAACAAUAAAGGAGAUUCGUGAGCUAGGAAAAGGGGUCAGCAGAUGUGAGAGGAGUCAAGCCAGGUAUAUGUGAAAAACAUUAAACACAUGUGUGGAAAUGUCAUAAUGAAACCAUAAUUGUGAUAACUAAUAUGUGUAAGUCAAAACACAAUAAAUGAAAAGGGUUUAUUGGGGCUGGGGCAAUGGCUUAGUGGUUAAGAACCCAGGUUCGAUUCCCAGCAUUCACACAGCAGUUCACAACCAUCUGUAAUUCUAGUUCUAGGGGAAGCUGACUCUCUUUUCUGGCAUCUAUAGGCACUGCCCAAAUGUGGUGCACAGACAUAUUCAGACAAGACACCCAUACGCAUACGCAUAAAAUAAAAUUAAUAAAGUGUUGCAGAAUAUAGCUCAGUGGUAGAGUUCUUGCAGAUGUGGAGCUUGUAUCCGUUCCUAGUAAUGUAAGAAAUAAAAAUUAUUAGUAAUAAAUACUAAAGUAUAAAAUAUUAUUAGUAUUUGUAUUAUUAUACUAUAGUAAAAUAUAAAAAUAAUAAAAGCUAAACAAAUUCUAGGAAUUUAGAAAGAGAGAAAAAAAGAGAGAGGUAUCCGACACUGAACACAAAUAUUUUUAGUGCGUUCAGGGUGGGGGAAGACAGCUGCUUGCAUGCUGACCCAGUCAAUAGAAACCCUCUGGAAAGCAACCUCGGUGACUUGUAUGAUUUCUUAGAUGUAUCUAUGCCCUGAGGUAUAGCAAAUGCCCUUUUAAGGGACAAUCAUAGAUGCACACAGGAGAAUAUCAUUCCCACAUAACUUACACUAGUGAGGUUUUAACAAUGUACUCUUGGGAAAAGGUCUGGCUCAGAAGCAGAACACAGGCUGAGCAUGCGCAAGGCACAGUUUCCUAGCAUCACACUCAGAAGAAACAAAGACACAAAUUCUUUCAAUGCGUGAUGCCUCUUUUACACAGAAGUAGGGCUAUUCACAUCUACGGAAACUGAUAUUUCCUGCCUGCUUUGUACAUCAUGCAAAGUCAAAAUGCUGCCAUGGUCUCCUGGUUCCUAAGGAUAUGGUGGCAUCUGGGAGGAUAUGGAACUGUGUCUUGUCAACCAGCAAGUGCUGAUUGCACUGCAGACUCAUAAAUCACACAUACACCACGGAAGCAAAGGGUACACUGCCUGUAGAAAUGGACGGGUGUCUGCAGAAACAGCUCCCAGGCCUACCUCUCCCCUAAAACUGUAAGUAACUCUAGCCCCAGGAAAAGUGAAUCAAUCUGUAGCAACAAACACCUACCUGCUCUCAGACAAAGGGAAUUUCUCAGGGCCUGGGUAAUCUCUGCAGCUACAGUGUUACAAUGCUGGGGUGGUAUCCCCCACAGCUACAGUGUUACAGAUGAAUGAGCACAACGUGAGCUUAGAACUAUGUCUGCCUGGGUCAGUUCCUGCAGCUGCACAUUUAGAUCAGCUCAGCUUAUCUAAGCUCCUCCUACUCCCAUCACACCCACAGUCUAGGCUAGGCUGGCACAGGAACAGAGUGGCACAAGUUUGCCCCAUAGCAUAAGGGUAUGAGAAUAUGGAUUCCAGUACCCACAUAAAAGCUCGAAGAGUUCAUGAUUUCUUUAACCCUGCACUGGGGAAGCAGAGACUGGUGGGGGCCCCCGAGAUUGCUGGCCAACAAGACUAGCCAAUCUCAGUUUCAAGUUCAAGGAGAUCCUGUCUUAAAAUAUGAGACAGAGGGCUAUUGAGAAAGACACCCAACAUGAGACUUGGACCUCCACACUCAUGCUUAUCUGCGUGCGUGCGUGCGUGCGUGCGUGCGU